GGGGUGGGGGGCUACACAUGCAGUCGACGGUAACAGGGAGCAGCUUGCUGCUCUGCUGACGAGUGGCGGACGGGUGAGUAAUGUCUGGGAAACUGCCUGAUGGAGGGGGAUAACUACUGGAAACGGUAGCUAAUACCGCAUAACGUCUACGGACCAAAGUGGGGGACCUUCGGGCCUCAUGCCAUCAGAUGUGCCCAGAUGGGAUUAGCUAGUAGGUGGGGUAACGGCUCACCUAGGCGACGAUCCCUAGCUGGUCUGAGAGGAUGACCAGCCACACUGGAACUGAGACACGGUCCAGACUCCUACGGGAGGCAGCAGUGGGGAAUAUUGCACAAUGGGCGCAAGCCUGAUGCAGCCAUGCCGCGUGUAUGAAGAAGGCCUUCGGGUUGUAAAGUACUUUCAGCGGGGAGGAAGGUGUUGUGGUUAAUAACCACAGCAAUUGACGUUACCCGCAGAAGAAGCACCGGCUAACUCCGUGCCAGCAGCCGCGGUAAUACGGAGGGUGCAAGCGUUAAUCGGAAUUACUGGGCGUAAAGCGCACGCAGGCGGUUGAUUAAGUCAGAUGUGAAAUCCCCGGGCUCAACCUGGGAACUGCAUUUGAAACUGGUCAGCUUGAGUCUCGUAGAGGGGGGUAGAAUUCCAGGUGUAGCGGUGAAAUGCGUAGAGAUCUGGAGGAAUACCGGUGGCGAAGGCGGCCCCCUGGACGAAGACUGACGCUCAGGUGCGAAAGCGUGGGGAGCAAACAGGAUUAGAUACCUGGGUAGUCCAA
rnacentral:rRNA from 1 species